AAUACUAUACAAUUCCCCUGAUCCGUGUACGCACUACUUUUGCCUGUUCCCGGUAGCAUCUCUAACCCACAGAGAACCCUGAUGCUGGAGUCCAGAUGUUCCACAGAGGUCAGGCUGCAGUCGGGGUCAGAGGGAUGCUGUAUGUCUCUGAGAACCUCCAGCCUGUCCUUGCCAGUAACCACAGCAACAGUCAUCUGGAGUUAGGGGGUGGAGCGGGUCUCUUGGACAGCUGCAGCUCAGUCCCUGUUG